rnacentral:lncRNA from 1 species
AAAAAGGCUUUUUGCAAUCCUAGUCUCCUUCUAAGUCUUCUAAACAUAUAAAUAAGCCAUGGGGGUCAUCUUAAAGUUUAAGACUUUGAAUUUCUACUGAUUCUAAACCCUAGAAACUUGUUUUUCCCGUUCUUAUGGAUCUAUUCUAAUAACAAGUUUCUAAUAAUCAAUAUCGACUUGAUUCUUCGUUUUUACUCGAGAUCUUAUACGAGAAUCAAGUAGAUGUUUAAUUAAAAGGUAGACCCUCAUCGCUUAUGGGAUUCUAAGGCUUAAUCACCAUAAAUCUUCGAUUCUCCAAGCUCCGGAAGGAGAUUCGGCGCGUGGAUCUCGCGUGAAGCCGAGGAUUCGGUGGACGCUUCGAGGAGUUGAGGCGUUGAAGUUGCAAGGAGUUGUGACGAGGUCGAUUGGAGGAUUCCUAUCGAUCAAGGACUGGCGAAGAUCACCAUCAAGGGGAAUUCGGUAAAUUGAGUCGUGUAUUUUUGUCAAAAUCACUUGUACUCAAGUUUUCUUAGUGGAUUUUCUUUGCGUGAUCGGUCCCGUGGGUUUUUCACUCCGGUUUGGAGUUUUCCCACGUUAAAUUCUCGGUGUGCUGUUUUAUUUUCCGCUAUUUCGUUUUAUUUGCAUCGAGAUUUUUGUGUUUGCCGUUUUUACACCUAUUCACCCCCCUCUAGGUGUUACUUACCUUUUAGAUCCUCGGGAUCCAUAUCUUACAG